rnacentral:rRNA from 1 species
UACGUAGGGUGCAAGCGUUAAUCGGAAUCAUUGGGCGUAAAGCGCGCGUAGGCGGCCCGGUAAGUCCGCUCUGAAAGUCCAGGGCUCAACCCUGGAAAGCGGGUGGAUACUGCCGGGCUAGAAUCCGGAAGAGGCGAGUGGAACUCCUGGUGUAGCGGUGGAAUGCGCAGAUAUCAGGAAGAACACCAAUAGCGAAGGCAGCUCGCUGGGACGGUAUUGACGCUAAGGCGCGAAAGCGUGGGGAGCGAACAGG